AAACUUUACUUUUAGUGCAUUGACAAAAAAAAGGCAAUGGUUUUUUUGCCAGUAAUAUAAAUAAAUCAGAAAAAUGUCAUGGACAUUGGUUGAUCUAGGUCUUUUUGUGUGAUUUGUGGACAAUAAGAAACCUCCCAAAUGGAAGUCUGAAACAAUACUCAACAUUACAAUGGCAGUUUGUAAUUGUAUUUCUACCGCUGACAUUUACGUGGUUUGUUUUAGUCAUCACAUGCUGGUACAUUCUUAGAAAUUAGUCUGUUGAUUUAAUAACCCUUUAAAAUCAGUUUGGAAUAAAUAUUGACCCGUUAUUUGUAAACAAAGAGAUAGCUAUGUUAUGUAUUGAUUUGAUGAUUGUUCUCUCAAUCCUUACUGUCGCUUACUUGACAACUUUAGCGGUUUUAUUCAGCGCAUGUCAGAAGUCUUCUCAAUACAUGACACACUUUAAGGCCUAAACCUUCUUGGGUUAAUUCUGAGGUACAUAUUUUUUAAUGCAUUGGUGGGGUGAUAACCGCAGGGCUGAUGGUUGGAACCUCGGCUGCUCCGUGUCAAAGUGUCCCUGAUUAAAAGACCGCUAACUGCUCCCCGGGCGCCUUCAUGGCAGCACACUGCUCCCACUGUGGGUGGGUUAAAUGCAGAGAAUAAUUUCCCCACGGGAUUUCUUCUUCAAUAGUUCUGUAUUCGUUUUUUUUGGAGAAUCAAUCUUUAUGAACUUUUUGCAACUCAAAUUAAGGCAACAACCAAAUAAGUUAAGCACAUAUCUACUGGAAUUAUACAAUAAAACCGGAGGCUCUGUUUUGUGAACCAGGAUGGCAAGUUUCACUCCUAACUGAGGACAAGGGCACAGCACACUACAAAAUAGCCCCUAACCAAUAAUAUUUCUAGACGAUAUUUCACAUUUCAUUGUGGUUUAAUUUGCUGUGCCCCCCCAAAUAUAAAAACCCUUCAGGCUAUCCUGACUCUCCAACCUUGCAUGGUGUCGAAGCACAGGCUACAACUUGGAUCACAACUGUUAUUUCUAAGCUGUACUGUAUCCAACAAAUCAUUAAUAAACUCGUUGGCCGAUACACACACACACACACACAAACAAGAUAAGUUGCUCCUGAUGUGGCGGUGGCCUCCUGCUCGCUCGGUCGAAGCAAUGUCAGAGUGGAAACCUCUCACCGUCCACUGCCUUAAUUGAAGGAAACCGCUCAACGAGUGGACCGGAAAAUUAGUAGUUCUUACCAGCCAGACUCACAGAAUCCCCGGAAACACCAUUAAACACAAAUGCACAAAGAGCUUAGGAUUUCCCCACCCCCAAUGCCAUGACCGCUUCCUGAACUUUGCGUCAGUGGAACAUGCCGAUUGACGUUGUUGUCCAACAUUGACUAAGUCACAUUUAAAGCACCAGUUCAUUGCUUCAAAGGUUUUAUUCGACAUGUUAAUAGAAAAAUGAUCAAAUUUUUCCUCUUUUUCAGAUGAGUGUACCAGAAUAAUUAAUAAUUUUUAUCUUAUGUUUUAUGUUAUCAGGGUGUGGUUUUAUUUCCUUUUUUAUUUUGUAGUUUUCUGCUUCUUGUCUCCCGAGUAAUGGAGCUCGCGGCCAAGCUCCAGGCCACCUACUCCCUCCACGCUGGGGCGCACCGCUUUCCACGCUGGGCCGCCGCAGCGCUCUCCCGUUCCCGUUCUCCGUAGUACCGACUGCGGAGAUGUUCCGUGUCCCCGAGCCGCCGCCGCUGACUGCGGAGGUGUUCCGUGUCCCCGAGCCGCCGCCGACUACUGCGGAGGUGUUCCGUGUCCCCGAGCCGCCGCCGCCGACUGCGGAGGUGUUCCGUGUCCCCGAGCCGCCGCCGCCGACUGCGGAGGUGUUCCGUGUCCCCGAGCCGCCGCCGAUUACUGCGGCGGUGUUCCGUGUCCCUGAGCCGCCGCCGACUGCGGAGGUGUUCCGUGUCCCCGAGCCGCCGACUGCGGCAGUGUUCCGAGCCGCCGCCGACCCCGGAGGUUUCCUGUGUCCCCGAGCCAGCCAUUCCAGAGGUUUUGUGGUUUUAUUUCCUGUCUUAUUUUGUAGUUUUCUGCUUGUCUCCCUGGGUAACUUCACUUCCUGCCUUGUCCUGUCAUCGUCUGUGAUUGUCUGAUUGUUUCCACCUGUGUCCAAUCACCUGCACCUUCCUAGUGUAUUUAAGCUGUGUGUGUCUCCUGUCACUUGUCGCGUCAUUGUUUGUCGUCCUGGAUGUUCCUCGUUCCUGCCUGCCUUUUUUUCCCUCUGUACUUGUGUGUGUUUUUGCCCGUUGGCCUGUGGAGUUUUUGACUAUUAAUGUCCGUUUUGUUUCCUGCAAACUCUGCAUUUGAGUCCUCCAUCCCUGACAUAUGUCACCACAGUUGAUUGUUGGGCAUUUGCUAAGUAGCCCUGUUAGUACCCUUUGAGUUGAGACUGCACACAUGGCUCAUAACCUUUGCCCAACAAUCUCUUUACAGGCAAGUUGUACUGAAAUUUUCAACUUCCCACUAAUUAGUCGCCUUUUCCUCUGGGCAUCAGCUGUUAGCCAUCAUUUGCAGCCAACUUUCUGCCUUGAUUCAGAAGUGCUUCUUUGACUAUGAUGAAAGACGUGUGGGAAAACUCUGUAGAUCUAAAAAAAAAAGAAAAAAAAGUCGACAAGCCAUUUCAAUGUUUUCUUGUUAUAAAUAGACAGUGCUAUUUCAUUUUCAAGCAAUUGUUUUCCCAUAUUAGUGAUUUAUCUUUUAGAAUGCUUAUUUUGAUCCCUGCACUUCAUUUAAAAAGGGGAAAGGUAUCAAAUUACUGUGCUUAGUAUUUCUGAGUCAUAGUUUGCAAAUAUUUGUUUUUAAGUAAACCAGUACUACCUUCAUAUAGACAGCAUAUAUUUACUACAUUAGUGCCCAGAAUAGUAAACAAAAGCUAUUUUGUCUCAUGUAAAGUAAAUGAUAUUGACAAACUCCACAAUCCCAAAAGAAAUGACAAGACAAAUAAUAAAAUGUACAUCGAAGACAAAUUACUAUGUGGUGAAGAGAAUAUCUAAGUAAUUCAAAUAAUAGACUAAAAUCCAACUCCCGAAAACUAUACAGUUCACUGUCAUUUCUUCCAUUUUGAUUUGUUGAAUGGUAAGAUAUGAAUUAGUGCUUAAAACGGAAGGUUUGUCUCCUGCAACUACAGCCUGCCGUCCUCCCUGUGAGGUAGUUUUCUUGCAACCGAGAUGAGAAAAACAAACAUGGAAGUCGUUUUCUCAGUUCUGCCACUUUGAUUCUAAUCCAAUGAACAUUCAUUUCAUUUUGUAUAGCCCAAAAUCGCAAAUUACAAAUUUGCCUCAGAGGCGUUUACAGUCUGAACACAUGCAACAUCCUCUGUCCCGAAACCCACACAUCAGCAGAGGAAAAACUCCACAAAAAAUGAAAACCCCUUCCAUGGGGAAAAAAGGGAAGAAACCUCAGGGAGAAUGUCAGAGAAGGAUCCCUCUCCCGGGAUGGACGGACUACAAUGGAUGUCCUGUGUACAGAAUGAACAAUGUAAGAGAUGUACAUGUGUGGAGAAAGCACAAAAACUCCUGGAAAGAAGCUGAAUUAGUCAUGUGCAUUAAUAAAAUGUGGAUUAUUGUAGAAAGAGAGAGAGAGAGAGGAGCUUGGUGUGUCCAAAGAAGUCCCCCGGCAGUCUAAGCCUAUAGCAGCAUAACUAAGGUCUGGUUUGGGCUAACCUGAGCCAGCCCUAACCAUAAGCGAUAUCAAAGGGGAAAGUUUUAAGCUUUAUCUUAAAAGAGCUGACCGAAUCUGCCCCCCGGACUGAAAGUGGAAGUGGAUUGACCCUUUUUUUCCUCUCAAUAUGGACAGAGGGAAGACUAAAGGCUAUAGACCUUCCUUCCUCUCAAGGAAUUAAUGGUAUCAUUGUAAAAGAAAGGACUAUUCAGCUCGAGUAGAAAUCCAGAAGCAUUACAGUAAAUGUGUGCAACAAAAAGCGUGCAAGAAUUCUUUGAUUGACAGCCUCACAAAAUAGGUUUUACGAAUUUGACUCGUGUCAUUUUAACAACAAAACGCACGGUUUUAAUUUAAAAACGUAUGUUUUUACUGUGUAAGAAACUUUCUGCUUUUCCAACUUUCACUAAUCAGAGCAGUUGAAGUCUGCAAAAUGUCACAGAUUUCUCAGACUAGCACCUUGCUUAUUGUGUCCUGGUCCACUGAGCAUCUGGAGGCAAAGUGAGAUCUCAUUAAAUGAAGUCGGGAUGGGAGGGGGAAGCUGAGUGAGCUGAAUGGGGUAAAAUUAGGUUUUAUCGUGAUGAUGAUUCUACAUUGAGCUUCCUCCGUCAUUGUAUAUUAAACAUGUGGUUUCAGGUGCACAAAUUUAAAUAGAAUAAUGACAUUAUUUAUAAUGAGAAGCUUAAUUUGUAACCCAAACAAUAUAUAGUUAUUAUGCAAAGAUAAUACAUCCCUUAUCUCUCUUCCUCUCCCACGCACACAUGCACAAGAGGAGGGGACAUAAUCUCAGCUAAAUUGACACUAAAUGGCUCAUUUUUUUAAUCAACCCAAAUUAUUAGCUGGCUAAUUUGCCUGAAACAACUCACUUACCUCUUCCUCUCACACGCAACACAUGCACAAACAUGAAUGCACUUCAACAGUCUUUUUUGCACAUUCACAAGGACCAGACCCUUGAAAAGAGGCAUUUAAAACACUUUUGGAGUAAGGUGAACGUGAUUGAGAUGCAAGGCGUGAACCACGUGUAGCUCAUUGGGUUAGACAAAUUAGUUGCAGGGUGCCUUGAUAGGAUCCUGAGAGGGCUUGCCAUGCCGGUGUGCUACAGCAGAUUCCCUAAAGAAGACGAUAGGAGAAAAAAAGGGAGGCAGGGAGAGGCACCAAAUAAGAGAGAGGAACAGGAGGAGCCGGUUAGGAAGGUUUUUAUAGAUUAGCAGGACGUGGUAGGGUUGAGGAGUGAUCCCGCUCCAAAUAUUCCGAUAAGUAUCUUCAGUUCACUAGUGUGUGGUCAAAAACCAUCAGAACAAGCAGCAUAGCAAACCUUUCCCUUCGCUUCCGGCCGGUGGUGCACAAACAAAAUAUCAGAUGGCUCAAGUUUAAAAUAGAGACUGAUUUAAAAACUGCAAAGCAGGUACAAUUACAAAAUGAAUUGCACCUUUAAUGGAGUAAUAAUCCAUGGAAUUGUCAAUGUCCUUUCUUCCUCCAAAUCUAGUCCAAGUUUUCUGAAGACUCUCCCACACAAUCUCGCAUGUCCGUAGAGUUCCUUCUUUUUUUGUGAUGGAAGAAGUGAGCAUGGGAGAGAUGUUGGAUGUUUGUUUACUUGUUACAGUUUGCCCAAAUAGACUGUUGCUCGGCGGAGAUACAGAUACAGCAGUAGUUUGCUUUGUGAGGUAGGUUCUGGAACUGAAUACGGGUGAAUCAAAUAGAAAAGCGGAACAGGAGGAACGAUAUAAGUCGGUAUUCAUAAAUAUGUAGGAAGUUGUAGGGUUGAGGAGUAGUCCUUCUCCCAAAAAAGGAUCAGUAAUCAAACAUGUACGUGCAUAUGUUGCUGGCGUUGUCAAUUAAUUCAUGUUCUAUAUUGUAACAAAAAAAAUUAUGCCAUUAUCAAGCAGACUGUAUUGUGUGCUGCAGUGUUUACAGCGUGUGUUUACACUCUCCUAAAAUGUGAUAAAGGUUGGAGUUAUCGUAGCCGCAGGUGCUGCCGAGAUGUGCAUUGAAAUAUGCUUGUGGUCUGACGCGGCCUGCUGACUCGUGUGUAACUCCCGUCCUUUCAAGUGUGCAGCCUGUGGUUCUCACAGCGGCGAGGCAAGAAAGGUUUCUGAAUGGACUCCAGGCUGGAGGAGGGUUUUAAAAGAAUUGAAAGAAUGUGUUUCCCCAGCUCUACAUCUAACCCCUAUGACUGUAUACUGAUGGGGAGGAAGCAAUACAACUUUGAAAGGUUAGUCACAUUUUGUGACCUGGCUUUAGUCAAAGUCACGAAACUAUUGUUCACUUACAGAUGUUGUGACGGCCCUGCCUAUUGGUUCAUGUCGGAUACCAUCACCUGAUUGAGAGCAGCUGGGGGGUUCCAGCGGUAUAAAAGCGCUUGGUCGCUGCCUGCCGGGGUUGCUGGUUUCCCGGGCAUCUUUUGUUUGGGUCUCUUUGCGUUCCAUUUAUGUUCACAACACGCUACCCUACAUGAUCAAGCACCCACACUGACAUGACUGAAACUACGGACGUACACACCUCAUAUUUGCUUUACUUUUGGUUCUGCUACUUUACUUAAAUAAAUAAACUUUUACGGCAGCUUUGCACUGUGUCUCUCCCGUUUUUGUCAUCUCCGUUGAGCCGGGUCAUGACAAUGUCCAUAGACUAUUCCACAUUCAGAGUGAUGAACAGUGACAACUGAAAUCACCUAUUAUUACAACACAGUGCACAAAAUGAUCAAAGAAACAGCUCCUUAAAAUAUGCACAAUCAGACCCACAAUAGCUUCCCAUGCCACAUGUUUAAAAUAAGCAUAACAGCGUAUAUGUAUGUGCACUUUUGUGGGUUAGUUUAAAUAAGAAAGAAGGAGGUAGGGGUAUUAAAUACCAGAUAGAUUUUCAAAGUUUGGAAGGAAAGUAUCCAUUACUUUACCACACAGAAGGCAAACUGGUCUGUUAGUUGUUAAGGGUUCGGAAAGCCCUCGAGGGAGUUCUCACUCCUUUGUUCUCGUCCCGGCCGGAAACGAAAAAUCAAAAGAGUCAGCUCGCUUAAAUUCAAAAAUAAAAAAGUAUUUAAUAACUAAACAACGUUAUAAGGAAUACAAUUACAAAGUCAAAUAAAAAACGAACAGGAAAAUAUUUCGCGUCUAAAGUGACUUUUCAAAGCGGCUGCAGGAACAUUCUAACAGUCCUUUCCCUUCUUUGGUCAUUUGAAAACUCUUAAGGUGUGUCUUCUUGGGUGCAUUUGAAUGUCAUUGGCUUCUCCUUCAAAGUGUCUCCUCCUGGAUUGUCCCCUUCACAUCGAGGUCUGAAGCUGCAGCUGUAACCUGAAACCUCUCUGUCCUAUCUGUCCCUCACAUUCCAACAAAUUCAAUGUAGAUACAUUUGGCUUUAUGCCUCAAUGAGUGAAUAUAACAAAGCAUGCAUAGUUUAAGUCUUCAUCUUCUAACUAGUACACCUCAAUUACAACACAUCAUUAAUGAUCACCGUUCAUCACACUACAUCAUAAGAUCUAAAACAGUUCAUGUGGUCCAAUUCUCAAGACAUUUGCCUCAAUCGGCUGUCUUGUAUUCAGUUGUUCAUUUACUACCUGAAAGGAGAAAAAAACUCCCAAAAAACCCUCUUUGGGGAUAAAAUUGGGAGAAAUCCAUAAAGGACGGCAAUCAGCAUCCGUCCCUAGGUUUUAACAUCACAUUGUGACAGAAUGUGAAUCUGUACAGUGUUUAUAUGAUUAACAUGACUAACUUGUGUUUGAUUCAUAAUGCAUUCACUUCAUCUAACAUGUUAAUAUAAUAACCAAUAUCUAAUAACACACAAACUACCAUUCUAACACUAAACAUUACACGUAUUAUAAUUUCCACCACUAGGGGUGCACUUCUUGCUUAAAUCCCUAACAUAGUUACACUUGACCUUUAAAUAAUAAAAGUUUACAAUUAUUCCUUGAUAUGGCGGAUUUAAACGUCUGCAAACCAACGUCUGGAACCGCACUGGUAAAGCGACAACAACCGUUGUUACACAACAAUAAUGGGACUCAGCAGUCCAUAAAAUCCCCACUUACACUGUAAAUAGUACAGUUGACUUAAACAAAAAGCACAACUAGGUUACAAACACACUACAACGUAUUGUGUAUCUGCCCAGGCAAAAGCCUCUUACUUGAGACUGCUUCGUCACGGUUAGUGCGCUUCUUUGUACCAUAGGAGGGUUUUCAUUAAAUCUAGAACCGGCGACCUCUUGACUGGGCUUCUCUCAGUGGGUCGAGCAGCAAACAAAUCCUCAGUAGGACAGCUCAGAUUUGGGUUGAAUUUCUCCAAUUCUAUAAACUCUGGACUUUAACCGCUCUGUAUGAGCAGGUUAAACUGCAUGCUGAUUCUCGUUCGGCAGCGGAGAAAACAUUGAAAAUCUUCCUUCUGCAGGUUGAAGUUCUGAAUUGUGCCGCAAGUUAUCAAUUUAUUUUUUGGUGAAUCCGCAAAAAAAUGUUUGUCCAGCAGUCGACAUGAUCAUCUAUAGGAAUACUAAGCUUGUUAUUCACCUCGUUUCAAUAACUUUUGUUGAAUAGAUGGCGCUUAGAAAAUGUAUAUGCGGAUUGUCUCAUCAUAGGGUAUAAGGGCCACGUCACAGGGACUAACUGGGAUUCCCAAGGCACUGGCCUGCACUGGCCUGGGAACGCCUCGGGAGCCCCCCAGUAGGAUCUGGUAGACGUGUCCGGGGAAAGGGAAGUUUGGGGUCCCAUGAUGGAGCUGUUGCCCCCGCAAUCAGACCCCGGAUAAGCAGUGAAUGAAUGUCUUUGUUCUAACAGCAUAGGGAAAUCACAAAUUUAAUUAAGGUCAUAAAAAAAUCAGCUUUUACUGACAAUUUGCCCAACAUUUUAACGUUGUCCAACACAGAUUGGUUUUGAAGAAGUUUUAUUUAGACUUUUGCUUCUCCCUGGUCAAAAUGACCUGACAACCUCUUUUGAAGUUUUUUACAACUAGUUUCACCUUUGUUUGCCUUGUGGAGAGCGAAAGAGUUAGAAUAUAAUUGUUAUUUUUUUCUCCAGAAGCUUCCUUUGUUUGUUUUUGUACAAAAGGUCACAGAUUUUUGGAUGCCUGCUGUGGUGCCCGGCACACGUAAUAGGACCUUUACAGUUUUCACCCCAACAGAGAAAGUGCUUCUUCUUUAGUCCAUAACAAGCCCGGCCAGAUUGUAAAACUGACAGAUGGGAGGAUGUUCAGACACAUGGAUGUGUUGGACUUCACGCACACACAGACAGUAAUGCAUGGAUGCAUCUGCGCAAAUAUUCUUCAUCAAACUGUUUCAACUCCUCUGGCUUCCCACUGAGACGCCUUCUGUUCAGCAGAAACACAAUACAUGUUUACAGCUAAUGAAUCUCAACUGCCUUAUAUUCCCAUCUUUUGGAAGUAAUAAACUCGGUUUGUCGGUGUGUGGGUUAUGUGUUCUUUUCUAACUAUUCAUUUAGAGAUUAAGAGAGAUCUAAGAGAUUAGAUACAUUGAGCUGUUGUGCCAGUUGCAGCACAGCCAUUAGGUGAGCAGAUGACACAGAGCCCUGAUGGCCUCCCGUGGAGGGGAGCUAUUAGCUGCAUGCUAAAUGGUCCCAGUGAUGAUGCUAACAUUAGCUUGAUUUCUCACUGCAGUCUCACACUUACUUAAUGAACGGCACCAUUAUUUACCAUUAUUUACAUGCAAAAUGAUGCACUGAGGUAUUGUGAGACCAAAUCAUUGUUCAUGAUCAUCUUAGGUAAAAUACUGGUGCUCAGUACACGCUGACUGCUGCUGGGGCUCACAUCCUAUUACAAACAACACUUGCAAGUGCUUCUAAACAUCUGUGUUUACUUGCACAUUAAAAAAACAGGCUAAAAUGUUCUCUAUGCCUUGUCUACCUCAGGUUCUUCCUCCCUCUCUGUGCUCUAUAUACUUUAUCUGUGCAGGUCAGCCAUUGUUCAUCUCAUCUGUUAAGUUCCCACAGGACUAUAUAUACGACUCUGCACACUCAGCAAUCACUGUGUCUGAGUGGGAGUCUGUCUGAGUAGUUGUGGGAAAGGAAGAGAGAACAAGUAAUAUAUCUUGAGACUAAAGUGUUAUCAGACUUAAAGAAGGAAUUUUUACAAUGAUGCUAAUAUCUUGAGCCAUUCUUUAUUAUUAUACAGUGGCAAUGUUUGUUUACCUCUGUCCUGAAAUGUCACAUACACAUUUCUUUUAAUGAUUGAAAACAGGAUCUAUCCGACAUAAAACAAUGUUUUUUUCUGUCAACCGUUGACAGAUCCGACAGCAAAAGCCACUAGUCCACUAGCUAAUUGAUCGCAGAUGGUGUCUUUUAUUAUAGAUAAAAAAUGUAAAUGCAAAACAUUGUUCGCCAUAGAUAUUGUGGUAGCCUUCAAUACAUCUGUCCUAUUAAAAUCAGCAAUAUGAUUGUGUAGAAUUUCAUCAUAUUUACAAAGCAAGUACAUCAACCAAAUCUUGCCAUGUUGCUUUAAGUAAAAAAUAUAGUCGACCAGGCUUUAAACAGAGAUUAAAUAUGUGAGCCUACACUCCCAUGCAACGUGAAGCUCUGUGAGCCUCGUUGUAUUAAUUGAUUUGAUACACUUUUUUUAUCUGAUGACCAGAAAGGAUUCAGUAGUUUUAAUCUAAAAACUUCAAAAGCCAAUCCUGGAAAAAAAAAAAAGGUUUGAAAACUUGUGUUGCUCUGUGUGCCUUCGUUGUCUGCGGGUACUCUGGCUCCUCCCACAAUCCAAAGACAUUCUCCUUGGAGAAUUAGGUUAAAACUUGAAUGCCCGUGUAGUGGAUUUAUCAUCUUUUACUUAGGGACACCUAGGUUACUGUGGAAAAAAAACUAAUGAAAACAAAGCCUCAUUUUAAAACAAACUCAUAUUUAAAGCCUUGACUAAUUAUUUGUAUACAGUAAUGGUUCGACUAUUUGUACAUUUUAAACUGCCCAAGUAGAACAUCACUACUUGAACAUAUUGAGGCAUUUCUACAGAUAUUAACACUUACUUAAUGAUACUUUUGCAUAUUUUUGUAAAGCAUCAAUGCCAUUACGUUAAAUAUAUUUGACUUCUCUGCCAUGUUAUUUUUCACAGCAGUUUGAAUGGGAGAUUAGUCAUGAAAUGCAGCUCUUUAUAAAAAGGACUUUGAUUUCUAGGAGAGCAGGGACAAAGAAGGAUUUCAAGCCAAGAAGUAAUUUUCAAAUUUACUUUUAAGUAAUUCUCUGUCAUUCUAUCUGUAAUUCCAGCCAACAAAUACUCCUCCCCUGUUGCUCCAGUAUUCAGGGACAUGCUUUGAAAAAUGAGUAAAUGUUUAAUUAGUCACAGGAAUGAAUAGUUAACAAUUAUAAUAUGUGCCACUUCUUCUAGCCUUGUCGCAUCUGCUCCCUCACUGGAUGUUCCUAUGCACUUGUUAUCUCCUGUUUGAAUAAAUUAUGGAAAAUGCCAAAGCACAGUAAAGAGGGCAGGAGAUGGAGAGAGUAAAAGUAUAGAUUGUAGACAGACCAGAGGUUUGUUGCUGUGCUUCCUCAGAAGUUGUCAGACCGAGGAUACACUGCAUUGUAAGUACGCUAACCAAAAUCAAACCAUUUCACUCUAGAUAAAAGCAUGCUUGCACACAUGUGUGUUGAUGUUCAUGAGCUUUGUCUAUAGAACUAACCGGCCUGUUGUGAUAAGUGGAAGGACACGGUCCAACAUGCACACACACACACACACACACACACACACACACACACACCCUGCAGAGCUGCACUCUAAUUGAAUAAGCCAUCACUCAUUGCUAAUGAUCAAAGAUUAGUAUUAACUCAUCUCUAAUUCAUACCUUUUCAAUAGACACAGCUCAAUGUGAAAUGAGAAAGAACAAGGCAGGAAAAGCAGGAGGUCAAGCCUUGUUUUGCACAAACCUGGGCACCCCUCUGAGACUCGUGUGCAUGCACAUGUCAGCUGAUUUGGCUUUCGAUUGGAGGUAGGCAGACAUUUUAUUCAUCUCAUAAGAAGGCUGCAUGCUAAUAUGGACAUUAAGUAGGUAUUUCCUUAGAUGGCUUUUUUGUCACUAUGCUUGCUUUUCAUUUUCAGGCUGAAAUAAGUAAUGACUACAGCAACCUAAUUUCAUAGCUGGCUUCUAGUUUGAAGAGUCACUGAGGUCAUUACGAUAUUUCAAAUACAAUUUUUCCCUUUAUUGCAGUUUACUUAACUGUAUCCAACCCUAAUCCAUUGAUCUUUUAAAGUUUAUGUGGAUAUCACUAAUGAUCGUACAGUCUGGAGUUUUCUUGUUGGAAAUUAGAGCAGCGAUUUUCUACUAAUUGCAUAAUAAUAGUUUUUAAAAAUGUUAUAAUUGUGGUUUCAAUAGUGUCUCAGGAGGAGAAAUAAGCAGACCUAAAUAAGGAAGACAACCAACCAGUGAUAACACAUAGACAAUGUUCUCAUGUUAACCUUGCCUCAGUCUCAGCUGUCAGUCACCCACCCCUGACAAGCAUGACUCACACCUAAGCCUUCCCUCUUUUGUCAGUGACAAACCGUGACUAACCUUCCUUCCCAGGAAUUUUGACAGCAGCUAUUGAUGGGCAUGAAUAUGGGACAAUGGAUUCAUGUGUGUGUGUGUAUUAAAGAUUGAUGACUCAGGCCAAAGAGUACCUAACUCUACUCUACAUUGAAGUCAAAACACCAGGCUUGUCAUUCAAUUGGAUGAGAAAUUGUGUCCAAACGUUUGACUGAUACUGUAUAUUAUCCGAUAAAUAUUGCAAUUAACAAUAUUCUAAUUUUAUGAAGCAAGUAAACCACUAGCAAGAGAACAGAAAUUUAAGUUUUCAAAAAUAAUCCUUUAUUAAAAUGUAUUAAAAAGAAUUGCAAUCAAAUAGAUAGUACAUUUAUUGUCACAUUCUGUUGCCACUGUUUCUAAUAGUUGUUAUAGGCUCAUGGUUGUGUUAGGGUUCCCUAACAGUUGGCACUCCUUAUUGACACACGGAAGUGCAUUAUGCGGUCACCAAACCCACUCCAAGUUUAACUUUUUAAUCAGCUACAUUUUGAAAGUACUUUAGACAAGCUGUAAGCCAAAAACUAUAACAUGAUUUGCACCGAGCAGGCCCAUAUCAGUAGCACGUCACGCUUUGAUUGUUGCAUCAUAAUUAAUGUAUGACCAUGAAAAAGCCUCCUUCAUUUUGAAGCAGUAUGUGAAUUCCCUUUUCCUCCACGAUUGACUUGUAUUACUAAAUGUAAUAUUUAGUAAAUGUAAACGGCUUUAACCUCUUCUCAGAAUAAUUCAUAUUUUCACAGUGAAACGCUAGGAUGGUUUGCUUUCAGUAUUGCAGUGAGCAGGUGACUUUAUAAUUAGGGAUCCUGGGCUUUUUUUCCAAACCUUUUCUGUUUACCUGAACAAGCAACUGUAAACCAAAGAUUAUUUUUUUUGAUAUUUUACUGUUUCUCACACCUUAAUAAAGUUUGAGAAGGACAGAAGCAAUACAUUUAAAUACACACAAUGUAUACUGUUGAUCAGACCAUCUAAUUUGUUAGCUCUUCUGUCCUUUUGGACUGUUUUCCUCAAAAUGGCAUUCCCAUACAACACACUUCAUUGUCAUCUAUGUUUGAGGUAAACAUCAUUUUCUCCAGAAAGAUGUUUGUUUUUCGCUGGUUAAACAAAAAAAAUAUUUUUGUGGAAGAAAAAAAAAAGGCUAAACCUACUCAAGAAAUGCUGUUGCGCUUUUGUUUUAAUCUACAUUAUUUACCACAUUUUUGAAAAUGGGACAAUUAUGCGGGAAAAUGCUUUUCCUUUAAAACUUAAUCCCUGCAGGUUAGUUGUAUGAGAAUGUAAAAGAUUGGUUCUUCACUGAGCCAUCUAUAUAAUCCGGCUUUUGUCUGCAAACAAAGGUCUACUUUUCCAAUCAUUUGCUUCUAUAGAAAACGUCAGUCUCCUAUAUUUUCAGGUAGUCAUCUUUAUGUCACUUUUAAUAAUAGUAAACACGCUUGGAAAGACAUUUUGGGGAGAUGUGGAGUCAGCACAUUCAGUGUAAAGUGGGGAUCUGUGAGUGGUGAUGUAGGAAGUUGGUAUGUCACUCUUAAUUGUGCUGCUAACUCAGCUAGUGCUUUCUUCUACACACCACAGUGAAAGGAACACAAACAAAACCCCACAAAAACACGGUGUCCUGCACCGUCUCUCUCAAUGACACACCUCAAAAAACCUGUCUUUCUGGGCUUGAAAUAACUCCUUCGCUGGUCGGCUUCACUUUGUGUAGCAAUUGCACACCUUCAUCUGUUUUUCUUGUUAACCCCCGUUUCUCCCUGCCAUCCUCACUCAGUCUCCAAAAGUAAGUAUUUUUAAAAGCAGUCUUCAUACAUUGUUCAUUCAGCAAUAAUCUCCGCGAUCAAAUUGUUCAGUUACUUAAAUAUAUCUGAUUUCUUAUAGUAGACCAUGCAUAUGUGUUUCACAUUAAUGUAAAUAACAUUCAUUUAAACAAAAAGCUGUGAGUUGGCUUAAGCUUUUCAGAAAGGAAAAGGGACCUGGAAAUGUCUCGCAUCUCUGUCAUCCAUCCUCUGUCACAUUAAUGUACGAGACAUGUUCAAACGAGUCCUUUUAGACAUGCAUUAUUAUUAGAAAGAGAUAGAUUUCAAAUGAUGUCCGUGCUUUGAGAUAUAAUGUUUAAAAUGCAACAUUGUUUGGUCUCCGGUUUAUAUCUUGUCUAUGUAAAUCAGGAAUUCUAUUCACUACUGCUUGUCUACAUCCAUCUAGCUUCAUGAGUCAGCAGUUAAGCACAGUGGUGGUUUCAGUUAAAUGCGAACGUCAGCAUGUUGACAUGCUCAGAAUGAGAAGGCUGACAUCCGGAUGCUGAGCAGGUAUGUUGGCAAUCAUGUUCAACGUCUUAAUGCCGCUUCUUAGAAUGCAAACAUUUGCUCAGAACUAUCAUGAGACCAGAUGUGGUCAUUGUAGUUUGUCGGGAAUGUUGCCGGUUUGGCGCCCAUAACCCAUCAAUGGUAGAGUUGGUUACCAGGUAUAAAAAUGAUUUUGUUCACACACACACACACACACCGCACGUGUACAUUUUAGUUCAUACACCGGAGGAAAUGCCAAUAUAAAAAGAUAGUGCUGAAAUAAUGACUUCCCAUCCUAAACCAAACUCCCUCUAUCUGACUUCCUCUUUUCUACCACUACCUUUGCUGGGUCGCAUGUACACUUUUUGGAGGCAUGUAAUGUCUAAAAGAAGAAAAGAAAUGUGUUGAUCAGUAAUGUGAUUGAAAUCCUCAUGAAAAUGUAAAUGAUUUACCAUUGCCCCAAGGCUUUCUACUGAGUUUAAUAAAAUAGUGCGUGUAGUUUUUCUGCAGUUCGGUAGAAGAACAGACAAACUAAACUGAAAAACAAGGAUGAUAUAUUAUGAUGUUUCUUUUGAAUACUUUGUGCAUAAUAGAUCUAUGACUCAAAGAAUCAUAAAAAGGUUCAAGGUAUUUUCUGCUUCAGCCAUAAGAGGAUUAUCAAAUCCCAUGAAACACCAAAAUAUAUAAAAUUGUUAGAUAUUCUUGUUAAGGUAUUAAUUAAGUUAAGUAUUAAUUCCCUUAGUUAGUGCCUACACUCCUUUUCCCCUUCUUUAGUCAAGUUUCAAAGGGAUCAGAAAUGAUGAUAGAUAGCAGAGGCUAGAGAGCAGAAUGACUAGGAGUCUCUCAAAUGUACUGUAGCUGUGCUCUCUAUCUUCACUCAAUUAAUCCUGCCCGACUGCAUGGAGUUGAGUGUUAUUUCCCAUGACAGAAGUCGGUUUGAGAUGGAAAUCCCUUGAAAAGGAAAGAAUCUGUUGGAGGUGGGUGCCGGGCAAAAGAGAUCUAAUGUCCCCACUCCUCUUUCCCCCGUCACUCUGAAGUCAGAGCCCUUUUGUUUUUCCAUCCUCAUUCUCCUCUGCUUCUCCACUCACCUCCGCCUGACAUUUCUUCAUCAUGAGUGAAGUACAUAUCUGACAUCCUUCAUGCCAACGUCAUCAUCAUCUUCAUCAUCUCAUUAUCCUCAUUGUCAACCUCUUUUUGGUUACACUCACAGCAGUUUCAGAUUUUAAUUGGCAGCUUGAGUAGCAUCAGAAUAUAUCCGCUUCUCCCCAGUGAGGCAACUUGCGUCUCUUUCUCUCCUUGAAGUUUUUUUUGAGUCGCGCCAUUGUGGCUUAACGCAAGUAAUUUGCCAUCGAGGUUUCCUCAACAAAUGAUAUGUGCAGAACAAGUGGUUCCCCUAGAAAACCAUGUUCUUCUUCUGAUCAUCUGAGGGCAAGGCGUCACUGCGUAUGCAGUUUUGCUAUUUUUCGUAGGUCGGGAACUGUGAGGACAUGAUGAAACAUUGUAAGCUUUGUGUUCUGACUCGCUGAUGGAGCGCUGCAGAUCGCCUGGUAAAAGUGCGUCGGUGGCACUUCUUGUAUAGAUCACAAUCUUUUUGGCUGCCUUGUUAGGGAGAGCGGGGAGAGAAGCUGCUAUUAGGCUGCUGAAUACCUGUGCUUCUCUGUGCAGGCAUUUGGUUGCAGAAUCGUAUUCGCAUGUCGUCUCCUUACUUUAGCUGGUGGCAAACGGGUUCUGCUGACUUAUUUAGAAAGGUUGUCGAUGGAGGUCAGCUCACUGAACAAAAGUCCCUAAGGGGACAUUACCGAACUGAACAGUAGAGGAUGAAUAACACAAUUCAUUUCAAGCGAUUAAAAGUAAGAGAUGGGAAGAGUGGUUCAAAUGAAACAAUUCAAACUGAUGAAAAUCUUCUAAAUUUGACCCAAUCACAAUUUUCCCUCAAUUCAUCGUCUGCUGCAACUCUUUAUCCCUCUGUGUGUGUAGUAUGUGCUCUCUGAUUCUCACACAGUUCAACGUUUACAGACACAUAAUCCGGUCUGGCAAAUGGCCUGGCUUUAAGGCGGCGCAUAUGGCCGCUGGCUGAGUGGGAAUGGAGGGUAAGGGGGAAAAAGAUGGACGGAGGGGAGACAGAGAGAGAGAGAGAGAUCUUGCAGUACAAUGUACCACUGCAUUGCCACCCAGAAAUGUAUUGUGCAACACAAGAAAACUCUUUCUUCAUUAUAAGCCGUAUCUUAAGUGCCAUUAACCUUUUAACAUUGAAUGACGUUUGCUCUCCCUGUAAUGCUUUAAGAGGCGUGAGAUGACUGCGUGUGUGUGUGUAUGUGUAUAUGUCUGUGUGUUGGACAAGCGUCAGGGCUUGAUGGCUUAUUGUGGCAGGCUCGUGGGCCUUAUCAAAAUGCGUGUGAGAAAAUACAGAGUGACAGACGUAGGCUUUCUGCUCUCUCGCACUAACAUGUUUAUUCUCCCACCGCCCGCUUCACUGAUCUCAACACACACACACACACUCACUCAAGUUCAAGUCGCUGUGAGCACACACGCUCACAGCCCCGAUGAUGCAGCUUGUUCAACAGUUGCAAGUCUCGCUACUGGUACAGAUGCACAGCUUGUCUCUAGACCAGAAUGUGGGAAUUUUUGGGUGUCCGGAAUGUUGAUUUUUUUUUUUAAAGCCCAAAACAAAACAAGCACCAAAUGUGAAAAGGCGCCACUUGAGAGACUUCCUUCCCCCCCAAAAAAACCUGCUAGUUUAAAUGGUUGUAGACGGAUAUUGCUGCAGACAACACAUCUCCCAGACGCAAUCAUUUCCAAAAUAAUAUACCUUAAGUCUUUUUAACUUUAGUAAGUUAAAUCCGACCGGACCAUGUAUCGAUGUCAUUUCCCUUUCCCAUCUUCCUCCAACACAUUAUCGCCAGCACUGUCAGACACUCGUACAAAUGAGAAAACAAUGGGGAGAUGGGAGCAAGUUGUUGAAUAUUCAUGGUGAGGAUAAGGAUACAACUGGGACAUUUUGAGGCUUUAUCGGCACUAACAGGAUCUAAGCCGUGGUAAUUCAUGUUAAAUCCAAACCAAAUCGGCCCCAAUGCCGUUUCUUUGGAGGGAAGAAAAACCCCAAAGAAAAUAGACUUGCGUAAAAUCUCCCGAGUGCUUUUGAGAUUGUGUUUCCAUACCAUCUCUAUCCCAGUUUUAUUUAUCGCAGGAAGGUAGUUGAGACAUCUCUCAUUCUCUUCAUUUCCUACACUGCGUCGCAUAUUGAGCUGGAAGCAAAAAAAGA
ensembl:lncRNA